GGAUGCGAUCAUACCAGCACUAAAGCACCGGAUCCCAUUAGAACUUCGAAGUUAAGCGUGCUUGGGCGAGAGUAGUACUAGGAUGGGUGACCUCCUGGGAAGUCCUCGUGUUGCAUUCC
rnacentral:rRNA from 1 species